rnacentral:rRNA from 1 species
GAUGAACGCUGGCGGCGUGCCUAAUACAUGCAAGUCGAGCGAACAGACGAGGAGCUUGCUCCUCUGACGUUAGCGGCGGACGGGUGAGUAACACGUGGAUAACCUACCUAUAAGACUGGGAUAACUUCGGGAAACCGGAGCUAAUACCGGAUAAUAUAUUGAACCGCAUGGUUCAAUAGUGAAAGACGGUUUUGCUGUCACUAUAGAUGGAUCCGCGCCGCAUUAGCUAGUUGGUAAGGUAACGGCUUACCAAGGCAACGAUGCGUAGCCGACCUGAGAGGGUGAUCGGCCACACUGGAACUGAGACACGGUCCAGACUCCUACGGGAGGCAGCGGUAGGGAAUCUUCCGCAAUGGGCGAAAGCCUGACGGAGCAACGCCGCGUGAGUGAUGAAGGUCUUCGGAUCGUAAAACUCUGUUAUUAGGGAAGAACAAAUGUGUAAGUAACUAUGCACGUCUUGACGGUACCUAAUCAGAAAGCCACGGCUAACUACGUG